rnacentral:rRNA from 1 species
AGAUGGUUUCGGCUAUCACUUACAGAUGGGCCCGCGGUGCAUUAGCUAGUUGGUGAGGUAACGGCUCACCAAGGCAACGAUGCAUAGCCGACCUGAGAGGGUGAUCGGCCACACUGGGACUGAGACACGGCCCAGACUCCUACGGGAGGCAGCAGUAGGGAAUCUUCCGCAAUGGACGAAAGUCUGACGGAGCAACGCCGCGUGAGUGAUGAAGGCUUUCGGGUCGUAAAACUCUGUUGUUAGGGAAGAACAAGAACGAGAGUAACUGCUCGUACCUUGACGGUACCUAACCAGAAAGCCACGGCUAACUACGUGCCAGCAGCCGCGGUAAUACGUAGGUGGCAAGCGUUAUCCGGAAUUAUUGGGCGUAAAGCGCGCGCAGGCGGUUUCUUAAGUCUGAUGUGAAAGGGGACGGCUCAACCGUGGAGGGUCAUUGGAAACUGGGGAACUUGAGUGCAGAAGAGAAAAGCGGAAUUCCACGUGUAGCGGUGAAAUGCGUAG